rnacentral:lncRNA from 1 species
AAAAUAGCUGCAUCUAAAAAGUUCAGAAACAUAUUUGCCUUCUACUCAAAACAAAAAAACAUGAAACUCCCCUGCGAACCCUCGUUCUUCAUCCCUCAUUCUUCUCCUUUCUCCUUCAUGCUUUUCAACUGAACCACCACCCUCCAAAACCACCAUCUACUCCUACCCAGAACCCUAGCCCUUCUUUCUCAUCUUUCUUCUUCUUCAUAUUCUUCUUCUUCCACUCUCCUCUCUUUUUGGCGAACCACCAUCACUGACCCCCUUCUCGCGUUUCCACUUCUCCCUUACCGCUGCCGCCGUCCAGCCUCCUUCCUCUUCCUCUGUUUGCCGGCCACCAUUGUCCCAACCACUGGCGAGCUACCCAUUCUUCUUCUUUCUCCACCCUCUCCUCUGACCAUCAUCACCUCCUCUUUCUCAAACAAAACGCAGAACCACCUCUGAUCAUCAUCACCGUUCACCUCCCUCUCCGCUGGCAACGUCGUGGACCUCCGCCGAGCCUAGGACCACCGCACCAGCUUCUCGCCACCAUCACCAUCGGCCUCGAACCAAAGCCCACCGCGUCAGAGACCCUCCUCUUUGCGCUACUCUAGCGCCACCAUAGCCAACCCUCUUCUCCUCUCUCCGUGUCGUAGAACCACCGCCACCGCUGCCCCAACCNNNN